rnacentral:hammerhead_ribozyme from 1 species
AUCCAGCUGACAAGUCCCAAAUAGGACGAAACGCGCGUGUCCUGGAU